UUGUGCAUUUCAGUCAUUCUACAAGAAAAAUGUAAAAUCAUCACAUAAAACUAAAGUUCUUUCAAAAUAUGCAGCUGCAAAGUGUUAAAUAAUGUGUGCUUAAUUAAAUUUAUAAAUAAUAAUUAUAAGUUUUGCCGGAAAAAAACAACUAAUUAAUCAAUUUUCUUAUGCAAAUUGCGUUGCAUUGCAAAAUAACGGAGUGUUGUGCAUUGUUGUUGUCGUUUCAUUUGUUUCGGUGCUUUGUUUUUGUGUCGCGACGACUUAACGUGUGUGUUCGUACGUGUGUGCAAAAGUGGCGUGUUGUUUGAACAUGAGAGAUGCACUCUCAGAGAAGCUGAGUGUGAGUUAAAUAAAUGCAGUAUGAGAGUACGGGAGUGUGUAAUUUUGUUGUUGGAGAUAUGAAGUGUUGAAUAACGAGGCAAUUUAGGCAAAUUAUUUACGCAUUUGCAGUGGAUUAAAGAUAUGUUUUGUGUCGAACUUUAAAAGUCAUAAAUAAUGUCGGGUGUUUGCCGAAAUGUCGGGUGCGUGGCCGAAAUUUCUGAUGUGGAACUUUUUAUUUUAUCAUUGAGAUACAAACUUCUACGCGAUGUUUGCAGAUAUGAACUCUUUAAAUUAUCUAUUUUCUCAAUUAAAGAAAAUGGGUUUCCAGACUUCCCCCUGAAAAAUGUAUGCGUCCAGAAACAAGGUAUCCACCUUAAUUUUGCGAAGCAAAGUGCGUCAAUAGCCUUGGAUAGUAACGGCACAAAAGGAAACUUCAAAAAAUAUGUAGAUAUCAGUUUUUUAUAAUUAAUUUCGACCAACUCUUUUUUUGCCCACAAUCACAUUAAU